UCCCUUUGCCUUUCUCACCACCAAUGCUUACAAAGCUCUUCCUGAGUUGCACAGAAUGGUCGAUUCUCCACACUUUAGAUUCAGGGCAUAACCAAACCGUGGGAUCAAACUCGAGGCUGAGACUAGUUGAGAGGUGGACAAGCUUGGUUUUGGUGUUGAGUGGAGAGAAAGUUACAGGAAGGCCUGAGACGAAAGGAGACGAUGACUGUACGAUGUCGAGAUUCAGACACGAGUCUUGUGUGUUUGCAUCUCGGCUUGAAGGGAUAAGACCCCCUCCCCUGCCGGUUCCGAUCUUAGCCGGUAUGAUGUAGUAUUGGACAUGGGACUGAACUGGAUGUCCUGAUAUGUCGAGGACUGCUUUGCUUGGUAGAGCAUUGGCGGCAGAAGCUGCGGCCAACACGGCUGAGAGAACGGUGAGAGUGAUGAAAGAGAGAGUAAGCAUCUUCAUUAGGUUAGAGUUUGUGGUGUGUCGUGUGUAGAUAGCUUAUCUUUUUGUAUGCAUAUCUUUAUGUAACAAAAAUGCUACUCGUUGGAAAUAAAGUUGUAACCAGACAAUAAUUGAAGUUCAUAUCGGACUAUAGGUCUUUUUCGAUAAUCAAGAAAUAAUAUCCACUCAAUCUACGCACGUUUUUUUUUGCCUCUCAGAAUGUUAUUUGUAACAACUAUUUUGUCAUUUUGUAAAGAUAUUUCAAGGAAACAAUUAUUGUUAAGCUAUGAGAGCAUAUAAUACAUAACUUUCUACCAUGUGUUCAUUAACCAAGGAACGCAAUAUAGUUUCUUGUCACUAUUUCUUUAUGAUUUGCAAUACCAUGCAGGAUCCCUUAAGUUAACUAGAAAAUCCUAAAGUUAUACAUUUCUUAAAAUGAAAAAAAAGUUAAUCAGUAGUGUUAGUAAAAAAAAGUAAAUCCAAAGUAUACAAAAUUUAGGAAAAUUCAACAGCUCAUUGAAAACGUUGUGUCUUAUAGAGAAAAUUAGUUAUUUUUCUUAUCAUCAUGACUUCUAACUAACUAGUAACUACAUGGUUCAAUCACCUUUGAAGCACUUGUGUCGGCCAUCCGUUUGAUUGGUUAUCAGAAACGUCGCUCGCACCCAUAUAGUGUCUCAAUGUGCUUCCAAUCAAAGCUAAACAAUAAUUAGCAUUGGUGUGAAGUGUAAACAGUGAAGCGUCAUGUAACAGUAUGAUUGAGCAACAAGUCAGGAGUCUCCGGCUGACUCGGAGGCUUUAGUCCCAACGCUUCUUACACACGAUUGUAUUAGCUGGCUCCUGCUGGCUACUACUGUGAAUGCCAGUUGCAUUAGAAUAAUCAUAUCUUAUAUUUUCAUACGCAUCCUACCAUAUUUUCUGUAAUUUUUCUUACAAAAUUACUAAAAGACGAAAGAAAAAAAACACGCAAAACUAUACAAAUCUUUUUCUUAAUAACUUUUGACUGUGCAAAUGUUUCAAUUAAAAACUCCAAACAGACCACGUUUGCGUCUAAAACGCGUGGUUUCUGUUGUGGCUCACGAUAUCAAAAACAUUAUUAUUAGCCAUUAGGCGGGUCGGAACCACACCUUUUUGACUCAGUUUUUUUUUAGUGGCUCCAUAAGUUUGACCUUACCUAAUGAUUCCUUCACCGUCACGUCAACCUAAAAAAGGCUACUUGAGGUCAAAGCAACCUCGCAACACUACAACGACGACUCUCUUACAUCCUUUUAUAAUGCUUAACAUUAUCACCUUCCUUUUCAUUUUUAUAAUCUCCUCAGUUUCUGCUUACUUGUUCUGUAGUCUUAGCUGUAAACUCUUUAUAUAAAAACUAACUCUCCACGAACUCUCCACACACAUCGAGACAGAACACAACACAACAGAGGAACUGAUUUUAAUGGCCGAACAUACAGGAGAAUCCUAUUGGUUUCUCUCUGUUUCUGCAUUAACCACGUUUCUCGCCUGCAUCACCAUCUUCCUUCUCGUGGGAAUAACAAAAAGAAAGAGAAGAGAGCCUCACAGGCUGCCUCCAGGAAGCAGAGGAUGGCCUUUGAUCGGAGACACCAUAGCUUGGCUCAAUGCCGUUUCCGGCUCUCAUCCUUCCAGCUUCGUCGAGAAACAAGUCAAAAGGUUCUAAAUUUAUCUCCGUACAUCAUCAAAACCAUCUUCUACGCCAGAAAAAUGAAAACUUGCAUGAAUAAUAAACUCUGUUUUGCAAUGCUCUGUUUUUAAAUGCUCUGUUUUGAAAAUACUCUGUUUUGAAAUGCUCUGUUUUGGGAUUUAACAGGUAUGGGAGGAUAUUUUCGUGUAGCUUGUUCGGUAAGUGGGCAGUGGUUUCCGCAGACCCAGCGUUUAACCGGUUCAUAAUGCAGAACGAAGGCAAGCUGUUUCAGUCUAGUUAUCCGAAGUCUUUCAGAGAUUUGGUCGGAAAAGAUGGAAUCAUCACUGUCCACGGUGAACAACAGAGACGUCUUCAUUCAAUCGCAUCGAGCAUGAUGCGUCAAGACCAGCUCAAGACUCAUUUCCUUGAGGAUAUCCCCGCGGUUAUGCUUCAGACAUUGAGUAGCUUCAAGGACGGUGAAGUUGUCCUUCUCCAAGAUGUCUGCAGAAAGGCAAGUGAUUGAAAGUAGAACAAGAAGAAGAAGAAGAAAGCCUUGGAGGUUUCUUGGUUUCUGAUCUUUUUUUUGGUUAUGUUCUUUCAGGUUGCGAUUCAUCUUAUGGUUAACCAACUUCUUGGAGUGUCGAGUGAAUCAGAAGUAGAUGAAAUGUCUCAGCUUUUCUCUGAUUUUGUUGAUGGAUGUCUCUCUGUUCCUAUUAACUUGCCUGGCUUCACUUACCACAAAGCCAUGAAGGUAAUGAUCAGAUAAAACAAAACCAAUGGUUGGUCUUUUCCUGAGAUUUUUAUUGUUUCUUUGUUCAGGCAAGAAAGGAGAUCAUAAGGAAGAUAAACAAGACGGUAGAGAAGCUGGUGCAUAGCAAAGAAGCUGAUACUGCUGGGAACGGUGUGCUUGGAAGGUUGCUUGAAGAAGAAAGCUUACCAAAUGAGUCCAUGGCAGAUUUCAUCAUUAAUCUUAUGUUUGCUGGAAAUGAAACUACCGCGAAAACAAUGCUGUUUGCUGUUUACUUCCUCACUCACUGUCCUAAGGCCAUGACCCAAAUCCUGGUAAUAUCUCGGUUUGGUGAUAACAGAUUACUUCCUCUUGGUUCUCUGUGUUUGUUUACCUUAUGUAACAUUAUGAAAAUGAGCAGGAGGAACACGAGAGGUUUGCUGGCGAAACGCUAACAUGGCAAGAUUACAAGACAAUGGAGUUCACUCAAUGUGUAAGUCAAAUCAAGAAGCUCAAACUCAUCUUAGAUGCUAAAGAACUCAAAUGGAAACUUUCUUGAUUUCUCAACAGGUAAUAGAUGAAACACUCAGGCUUGGGGGAAUUGCGAUAUGGCUAAUGAGAGAGGCUAAAGAAGAUGUCUCAUAUCAAGGUAUGUGAUAGCGUGUUUGUUUUCUUGUGUAUAUGAAGCAGAAACAUGGUUUAAAACUCGACUCUUUCUGGCUCUGAGCAGAUUACGUGAUCCCCAAGGGAUGCUUCGUGGUUCCGUUUCUAUCAGCAGUGCACUUAGACGAGAGCUAUUACAAGGAAAGUCUUUCCUUCAAUCCAUGGCGGUGGCUUGACCCUGAAACUCAGGUUCCAUUUUUACUUUGCCUUUUGACAUUGAAGCUUUACUUCAUUGUGUCAGCUUGAAAAGCUAAUAUCCAUUGAUCUGAAUGUGCAGCAAAAGAGGAAUUGGAGAACGAGUCCUUACUAUAGCCCAUUCGGUGGAGGAACUCGGUUUUGUCCAGGAGCAGAGCUCGCUCGCCUUCAGAUCGCUCUCUUCCUACAUUACUUCAUCACUACAUACAGGUGGACACAACUUGAGGAAGAUCGCAUCUCCUUCUUCCCUUCUGCUCGUCUAGUGAAUGGAUUCAAGAUCCAGUUGAACAGACGGGAGAAAGAUCCUCCUCAAUGUCAAUAAUCAACCCAACAAUCUUCACUUCUGUAGAUCUAUCUCUUUGUAAUGAUAUGUAUAUUCACUGUUAAACCGCAAGUGAUUUUUGUUGUCAUUAUUGUAACUUCAGAUUUGCAUAUUAGUGUUUAACUCCAAAGUCACUCCAAUCCAAACUAUGUACACUAAAGACUCCACUAAACACACAGAACAAUGGACUUUCUCUUCCCAUAUUUCUUCAUGGACAUAAGUAACAUAGAAACCGUAUGGUUUUGUAAAUCAUAUUCACUCUAUUCUCUGUUUCAAACUCCAACAAACCAGUUUGGUUUCAACAAUUACAACAGGUGCAAGCUGUUUUGAAUCCUAAAGCUACAAAACCUAGUGAGUUCUCGACAUAACAACAAAACAAAAGGCUAGAAAACUAAAAGGGAGAUAGAACCUUCAUAACUCCUCUCAGUCUUCUUCAUCUGAACUAUCAUACGCUAAACCCAACAAGCCUUUCGAAGAAGCAUUACCUUGCCCCUUGCUUUCCGUUCCUUUUCCUUCGUUUGGGUCAGCUCCAGGUUGCUCCUUUGGUCUGUCCUGCUUCUUCAACACUGUGUUAUCUCUAUGAACCUGUGCAUCUGUUGAGCCUCUGUCGCUUCUAAUGGGAGGUGAUACGCUGGGAGUUGACGGUGUUGAGAUUUUGGGCCGUUUUGGUUUAACCUCUACGACCUUUUUCAGUAAAUCUUGCUGCCUGCAAUCGUAAUAACAAAAACAUUGGUCACGUAUUCAAACCCCAGUUGAUGGUUCAAUUUUAAGAGCUCAUGAAGAAAAAGAGACAUUGCUACCUGAUACCACUCUUUGGUUUAGGCUCAACACGAAGUGGCAAGGAAAUGGCUGCUGGAGAUGAAUCUGCUUGGGUUGCAGAUUUGUGAUCUAUGGUCAAGAAAGUUCCAAAAGAGGUUUUGGAAGGCAUAGACAGUAAAAACAAACAAGAAAGGAUAUUUUGAAGGCAGCAAAAGCACGUUUCUCAGUUCGUCUAAGAAGGCGUUCUGCAUCAUCCUCUGCUUCCAUCUGCUCUUUUAGAUAAAGUAAGUCGUCGCUGUCCAAAGCUACAGACAAAAAAACAAAAAAAAAACUUAAUGAUAAUGAAACAAUCUCAAAAAUGAGAUCAGAAACUAAUACCGCCACGUCCAUGAAGAUAGCCUCCACGCUCACCAGCAACGUCUUGCAUCUAAAUGCAAAUAACAAGAAAAAUGUAGGCGGGGACAUGUUAUCCCUGCCGGGGCAUGUUAUCAGAAAAAAACUCUCCUCCUCCAAAAUACAGAAGAAUCACUUAAAACAUACAUCAAUUCUAAAGAAAGAAUUUAACUUGCCUAUCUUAUAUUCCCUCUGUUCUUUAAUAUAAGAUUUUUGCUUGAAUGCACAAGAAUUAAGAAACUUACUUUUUAAAAGAUAAUAUCAUUAAAUAAUAUAAAUUAAACAUUAGUUAAGUACUUUUAAAAAAGUAUCAAAACAUCUAAUAUUUUUGAAACAUCAAAACUUUUCCAAAACAUCUUAUAAUAGAUUCCACAACAAUGAAUACAACACAUUUGAAUGAACACUAAACAUACAAAAAGAAUACACUAAGAUAAGCUCUGGCAUUACAAUUUGUGCAGAAGAGAUUUCUCAGGAGAGGUUCGAGGCGCUAACCUUUGCAACCAUACGUUGAAAGGUGACGUCUUCAUCAUCUACCUUACCCCCUUUCCCUGAUUUCUUAUCUGCAGCUCAAUCGAGAGAAAGCCUUACAAUGAUAAACCAUAUUCAAUUGAGAUAUAUCGAAAGCACCUUUGGGAUCGGAGAGAUUUGUGUAUUCUUUGACUUCCCUCCCUGACAUCGUCUUCGAUUUUACUUACUCGAGAAAGAUUAGGGUUCUUACGUUUUCCAGGACUUGGUGGAGGAUGACGACCAAAUCGAACGAAGAUGAAACAGAUUGUUCGAUCAAAAUUUGAUUUUUGGUUGUCUGGCUUCCUCCAUUAUGUUUUAUUGUUAGCCCAUAUUCAGGCCCAUUAUAUUUCUUAGCCCAAUACUCACUUCUAUUAUUUUUUUAGGGGAAUCAGGAAAUACUGGAAAAUGGAAAACGUGAUUUCUUUUUCAGUAUUUGAAAACAAUUUUUUUUUUAAAGAUUUGAUUAAUAUAGAUUCCAUGAAAAUAAUCAGUGUGUUUAAAAGAACGGAGAAGAGAAUUCAUUAAAUUUGCAAACAUUAUAUAUACAAGUAAGAGAUUUAUUUCAUGUCACCUUCGCUUUUAUUUAUGUAUCAUCUACUCAAUUUUAAAUUCAUACUACAAUUUAUUUUUUUAAUAAAGUUAUGACGUGGUGAAGCUUAAUACCUUAACCAGCUAAUUCGAGUAAUAAUAAUUUUUAGUAAUUCACAAUAGAUAGAGAAUAAUUAUCUGAUUAAUUUUUGUGUGAAAAUUAUUAUUGUGGGGAAAAAAUGAAUUCCAAGAGCCCGAUUAACCUUGGUCUCUUAGCAAAGAUUUUUAAUUCAUGAUUUGACAUUUUUUACAUUUUUAAGACUAAAAGAUGACUAUUAUAUCUUUUAUUCAAGAGACGGUUCUUAGCUUUUUUUAGUUAAUUUUUUUAGUUAAAAUCUAAGAAAAACUAAGAACAAUCAAGGUCAGAGAAACGUCAAGUAUCCUUUAUUGGCAUGGACCCCUUAUUUACGAUAGAAAAUACAUUUACUACAUAUUUAUACAUCAAACCCUACAAGGAAAAUUUGUUCACAAUUAAAUACAAAACUGAACCAACAAUCUAAAACAAUCAUUUGAAAAUAAUAAAAAGAAUAGUUUUAUAAACCAUAAUAAGGGGAAAAAAAUCCAUAAUAAACAGAAAAACAAAACCGCACGUUCGAAGUUUUUUUGGGUCCAACCGUCCAAAAGACGUGACAUGAAUCUUCACCAUAAGUUUUGAUCAUCAUAAACUACUCCAUUAUUAGAGGAGUGAUGGGUUUUGGUCUGUACGAAAACAGUUUCCAUUAAAAGUGAACCAACCAAAAGUCAUUUAACUCUGUCAGAUUUCAGUUCGUCGCCUAGCUGUUUUCUAUCAACACCCAUAACCACGUUUAGAUCAACCAACACCAACUUUGAUCAAAUAGGGAAGAUUUAAAGCAGAAACAGACUAUUUAAUGGAGAGGAUGAACAAAGUUUAAAGCUGUAACUGUAAAGAAAACAAAAUACUUUGCAAUAGAAGUCAAUGCCCGAACCAUACAAAGAAAGUCACAGUUGCAUGGUGCGUUCUUGACUUCCAGUUUCUAACCAAAACGAUAAAUAAAUAAAAACACCUAAAUUCCAUUAAAAGAAUUAAAAAAAAAAACAAUGAUAAAGAGAGAAGAAUCCAGCUGGUUGUUUAAUGAGGUUUGUCCAAGAACAGCACCAACAUAAGCAGAGCAGAACAAUCGGAGUUAAUGUUCUUUCUUCUCUCUCUCUCUGGCAUUGAAGGCAAAGAAGAAAGACUUUAAUUCUCUCCUCUGUUCCAUCAUUGAAGAGAAUGAGACACACCCAGAAGAAAGCACAAAGAGUCUUUAAUAAUACUAUCAAGCUGUAGUUGAACCACUAGGACAGUUGUUCAAACCGGUUUUAAUUUGAUGCACAGUGGUUCCAAUCAAGUUAUUAACCGUCUCCACCGACUCCAUAUUCAGUUUUGCCGACGGUAAGUUGCUAACCAUUAUCUGAAACCCAACUGUAAUCAACGACCCUCCUCCACCAAAACCGCUUGACGUUGAGGCUCCUCCUCCUUGCUCAGUGGUUGAGCUACUGUGGUUUCCGUCUGGUGAGAUUGCGAAGCCUGAGGACAAGAGGGGAAUGUAAGAAGUAUCAUCACCGCUCAUUGCGAUGUUCAAUGCUGGUAAAUCCACUGGACUGUACACCACUAGUGCUCCUGAUGAGUCUAUUGAUGUUUCUUGUAGAAUCAACAUGUUGUUACUCUGUGACUGUGAUGCAUUUGAUGCCUAAUAACAAGGGAAAUGGAACUUCCAUUAGCUAAGAAACUGUGAAUGGUGCGGAAGAUAUUGAGAAGAAGUAGAGGCUUACACGUAGAACCGAUAUGCAGCAACCAGGAUGUGAUCCGUUUGCAAUGUGAGCAACUUCUUGCACUGCGUUUCUAUUUGAAAGAACAUCCCACUAAUACACCAACAACAAAGAAACAUUAUCAAACACAUAGUGGAUUACUCUUUUUACUUAUGAAGUUGUGUGUUGUGUGUUUACCUGAGGACGUGUUCUUUCGUCUUUCAGGAAAUUAAAGACGCUUUGAGGAGAGUUUGGGAGCCAGAAGGUGGUAGCUGCGCAUAAGAUAGUGCCGUUUGGUUCAGGGCUCUUAUGUGCAGUCACACGGACUCCAGCUUCGUUUAGUUCAGCAACUACUGUUGAGUGAGUGUUGUUAGAUCUGCUGACACUUAUACAGUAGUUGCUAACCAUUCUAUGAGCAAGUCUCAUCAUGCUUCUCUUCCCUUCCGGCGAUGGAAUCACUGCAAAAUUUUGCUCAAAAAGAUUUAAUUGGGCUUUCAAAAACUAGAUUAGCAAUGUGUAGUUCUAAAAAUCGGUCUAGGCCUUCAAAAAAUCGGCAUUAAAUGAAAUUAUUUUAUUAGACGAUUAUUUAACAAAAUCCGUCCAAUCAGUCUACGCGCCUCCUUAGUAAUAAUUUUCUAUAAACCGUCUAGUUACCCGCCUAUCGAUUUUUUGGAACAUUCAAACUACUAUUGAUUCAACAUUCAUUUACCUCCACCGAGAUCACGGGAUGAAGUUGAUGGUGCCAACAGAGAGGCAAAUCUUUCACACAUUCUCUGUAGAGUAGUAACCCAUCUUUCAGCUCCAAAAGCAAUCCCUUUGUGAAUCACUUCUCUGUAGAGCUCAUGAGUCUGUUCUUUUUCUUCAGUUUCAACAUGUUCAACCCAAGUAACCUGUUAACAAAAACCAUCAAUAAAGAUAGAGAUGCUAUCAUGAAACUAAAGUUAGUAGAGAGCAGAAAAAGGACAAAACCUUGGAGUAUCCACUAGGCAUGUCCUGAAUCAAGCAUCCAGAAGGAAACUUAUAGGAGUGAGAAGACUGAGACACAAACUGAGGAAGAUGAUAUGAGACAUUUACAACAAUCCAGCUUCCUUGUUCAAUCAUCUGACAGUAGCGUAGCUCGCAGAACUCGCGUGUUGCUACUAAUGGAGAAAGCACUGCCAUUUCUUCAUACAUCUAACAAAAACCAAGCCAAACAACGUUCUUAUUACAUAUGAGGAAACUUAAAAAUCUUAAUGAAGUAAUGUUUAGUUUUGAUUAAGCAAUGUGUAGUUCUAAAAUCAGUCUAGGCAACCCGCCUAGACAGCAAAUUAGGCAUAAACUAAACGAUUUUAUAUAACAAUUUAAAAAAAAAAUCGGUCUAGGCGUCUGCUUAAGUAAUAAUAAUUCUCUACAAAGUGUCUAAAUACCGCCUAGCGAUUUUUUGAACAUUCAAACUUCUAUUGAUUCAACAUUCAUUUAAUGGGAGUACAUAUGAGGAAACUUAAAAAUCCUAAUGAAGUAAGAAGAGUGCUAACAGCUUUACCAAAUGCAAUGCACCCUCAUGGGUACCUCCCAUUCCUGAAGACACCACUGCAAGUGUUUUAGAUGAUGCAACUAUACAAGGAAAGAGCUCUCCCCACUUGACCUGUAAACACAAGAAAAAGAAAAACUCAAAAUGCUGCCACCAUUUGUGAGGAGGAUGAUGGAGGUUUCAGCUAACUUACACCAUCCAUGAACAUGUCGACAAGCGUCAUAGCAUUCAUGAAGACAAUACCAGAAGACCUAGACGCCUCGGUUCUAACGUUAUGGUUCUUCCCUCGGUUACCUGAUCUUGGAAAAAGAUUCUCAUAGCUUCCAAGAUCAAGAAUCUCUCUCCCGCCAUCUCCUCUAGUCCAGAGAGGUUCGUUUGUGUUGAAAAGCCUAAGCAAUUCCUCCAUCGCAGUCAAAGCAAUGUCGUUCAUGAGAGGCUUGUCCAUCUCUGAUAUAGUAGCUAAGUUAUUAUUAGGAUGAGAGUGCAUAGAGCUUCCCGGAAGAAGAUCAAAAUCCAGUGAAGGACCAGUCAUGGAGAGAUCCAAUGGUGAGAUGUGGAGUGGAUGCAGCGUUGAGAGGUGGGAGGAGAUUGGUCUUCCCAUGUACUUUGAUGCAACCGUUGACAUUCUUUCAAGCUGUGUAAGAAAAUAUCAGAUUUAGAAAUUGAAUCAUCAAAACCAUAAUGGAUAAAAACAAAACAAACCUCGUCUCUAAGAUGUGCAUUUUCGAUCCGAAGCUUGUGUUCAUCAAAGUAAGGGUCUUCAUUAACGGGAGGACCUCCACAGUUUGGGCAUAUGGCAUGCUUGAUAGCUUCUCUGAUGGCUAUGUUUUCGCAUCGAAUCUUGUCGUUUUCUGCCUUUAGUGCAUUGUUAUCUGCUCUCUCAUGUUGUGCCUACAGAGACAGUAUCAAAAUCUUAUUCAGACAACAUUUUAAUCAGACAAAAGUGAGAGAGAUUAAGACAGAGAACCUUGAGCUGAGUUCUUCUGUUCUGGAACCAGAACUUGAUUUGUCUUGGAGCCAAACCCAAUUCUCUGCUGAGUUGGUUCCUCUGCUUAUCAUCUGGAUGAGGACACUCCUUGAAACUCCUGCGAAGAGACAACCAUUAUGAUUGUCUGAACAAAGAAACAACAAGAGAGAAGAAUAAGAAAUUACGAUUCAAGUCGUUGAAUCUGUUGAGCGGUGUGACGAUGGUAACGUUUCUUCUUCCUAUCAGUUUCAGACCCGUCGUGAUGUUGUUGGCUACCACUACCACUACCACCACCGUCUCCUCCGCCGCUUCCACUUCCACCGACGCCGCCGACGAAACUCAUCUUUUUAUUACAAACGUCGAGACAAAGAAGACAACAGUAAAACACUUUAAAAAUACUUUUCUUUCUCUCUCUCUCUCUCUAUUUUCACCCAACCACAAAGUGUUGUUAAUGGUCCAUUUACGCCACUGUCGCCAUUAACGCAAACCCAGUAGAGAAGACAGAACAAACAAACAAAAAGUUUCGAACUUUUCCAAAAAAAAAUAGAGAUUAAAAAAAGAAACGGAAGAGAAUCUGGAAGAAAGAUGCAGAGGCGAUGAUUACGGGAGGUGAAAAGAGUUUUUGAUUUUUUUAAGGCAAUAAAUAAUUGAAUUAAGCCGUAAAAGAUGUCUCUUUUUAGAUUCUACAGAGCCACCCUAUAGAGAUAAUAAUCUAUAUCUCUAAGCUUAUCACAUCAAAGCCCGCCAUUAGUGCUUUCUCUCCUAACUCUUUUCUGCACAUUCAUUACAGAUUCCAAAAGUCUCUCUCUCUCUCUCUCUUUAGAAACUGUGUAACUGAUGGGGUUUUUAAUGGGGUUUUGUGGACAGAUGAAGAGAGAGAAGGGUUUUAAAGUUUAGCUUGGUCUUUACCAUUACUGCUAAGUACUAACUCUCACCAUACUUGGGCAAGGAGAGAGAGAGAGAAUGGGAGGAACCGAACCAACUUUCUCUGCCCACAACUAACUCUCUUUGAUUUUACCGGAAGAGAGAGAAAGAGGAGAUGGGUUUGUCUCCGGCGAGGGUUAAUCGACGGUGGUUGGAUAAAAAGGAAGAGACUUUAUCCACUUUCUCCGUCGUAUAAUGACAAAAAUCAACUUUUUUAUUGGGGUCUUGUGCUUCAUCUCCUCUUCUUCUUAAGUUCUUUUAAAGUUCCCCAUAAUAUUUUUCCCAUUUUAAAAACAACUAAAAAUUUCUUAUUUUUAUUAUUAAUAAUCUAGAAAGGUUUUGGAAAGAAAUUUAGAAAGGAAAAUGAGAACAUAUGUAUUUAGACAAUUUUGCAUCUAUGUAAUUUACUUCCAAAUAUCACUUGUUUAUAUAGUGAACAAAGAUUAAAACAUUAAAAAGUGUAUUUAUAUUUAAGAAAACAAAACAGAUUUUAUAUUAUUAAAAAUGAAAUUCAUAAAGAUUACUUACUGAAUAUAAUGAAUGUGUGAAUAUUGCACUAAUUUAUGUUUUUCUGUAUAAGAUAGCUAUCAUAUUGAUGUGUACUACCUAAUAUAACCCCAUCUUUAUUCAGCAACAUCACACGUUAUUCAAAAUCUUUUCCAAUUUGGUCUGUUUGAAUAUUAAAAUCUUAAACACCAACUCUUACAGAUUCUUUACAUAAAUUAAUCAUGUCUAAUUAUAAUUAGUUAAAUAUGGAAAGAGUUGCAGAAAUCUCGUCCGUCCUUUUUAAACAUGUUCCGUUCCAUUCGGAAUUUUUUUUCUUUUUUUUCUUUUGUUUUCAAAAUUUAAUGGAUUACUAGAUUCUAACCCGCCCUUGAAAGGGCGGGUAUAUUUUUUGUUUACGUUUUUUUUGUAAAAUUUAAUAUUUAUAUUUAUGUUACUUUUUGUAAUCAUAUUUGUGUUUAAUAUUAAUUUAAUAUCAUUUUGGUAACUAUAUUUAAUAUGUCAAGUUGCAUAACUAUACACUUGUAUCAUAUGCAUAUCAUAAAUUAUUUUCACUUUAUUUCUAAAGUUUGUGACAUAUUAUAUUUUCUUAUUAGUUACCUAACAUAACUAAUCAAGAAUAUUUCGUAUCCAAAAAACCCCACUUGGAAUCGACUCGAAAAUAAAAGUCUCAUACUCUAUUAGACCUGACGUAUAUAUUCGGACGGUUCUUAAAGUUUAUAUCCCAUAACCAAUAUCAAAUCCAACCAGCACCGUAAACCGAAGAAAUGUUUUGAAAAAUAUAGAUUUUUAAAAUAUUCUGUUAUAUAUAUAAAUAUAUAUAUAUAUAUAUAUAUGUAUGUGGAUUAAUAUGUACUUCACUAACUGUAAGUAAAAUCACAACUACUAAAUAUUUUUAAUCGAAUAACCUAUUUUAAAUUCGUUAAACUAAAACUGUCACCCUCACCAUCUAGAGUAACAAUUAAGCGAAGAACACCAUCCAUGGAUGGAUGGCGAAGUUUCAUAUUGACUAUCAUAAGAUCUUUUCCUAUAACUGGUCUUUUCAUAAGUAUAUAUUUUUAUAAAUAAUACUUCCAUAAUAAUAUCAACUUAAAUAGUAAUCUUAAAUUUACUUCCAAAAAUAUACUUUGUUGUUUGUUAUAGUUUUCAUAGAUUGUGCUUGCUUUUCAAAUUUCUCAUUUUAACAUAUAUAUUUUUUGGAUGCAUAUAUACGAACUAUAUAGUAUAAAACAAACCCGCUUUCGAGCUCAAAGGGGAGAGGGCCAUCAAAACCAGGAAGAUACUUGACGAUAGAGGCAGAAUCAGCAUUCUGAAUCAAGAAGACAAGUUGGAGAAACAGAAACAGCCAUUUCAGAACAGAGGAAACAUAGUCGUUAACCAUUCGUUUUUCCAAGUGGUCUUUAAGUCUAAAAUAUAAUCAAAAAGAAUACAAUAUUACUUGUUAAUUGUCUUCGCGCUUGUCGUGGCCAUUAAAAAAGUUUUUUUCUUUCUGUAAACUAAAGUAAUUAUUUAUGUAAUCAUAUUCUAAUUUCAAGAUAGUUAGUGAUACGUCGUUUUCAUACAUGUAAACAAACAAGCAAUAAUGUCUAACAAGAUUGAACAAAGGAGAUAUGGAUAACAUCAUAUGAUUUGAUAUAUUCUUACUGUGUGAUUUUAAAUAAGGGGAAAUUGUUUACUAUACUAUUCUCAGUUUCAAGAUUUAAUGUCUCAUAGAAGCUUACUCAGUUUAGUUCAAAGUGACAUAAAGGCCAAGCCUCUUUAUAUAUGGAGAAGGUGUGUGCUAGGAAAUGUACACACACACUUUGAUUGAACAUUAGAGAAUCACAAUCUCUUCUCUUUUAUAGGUAAAGGCCACUCUCUUAUUUUACAGAGGUUGGCCAUUGAUCCACCUUUGAAACAUGACGGAGCUUUCCUCUGGUUUAAACUCUGCUGUGUGUCCACCUCCCUAUAAACCAAAACCCACAACUCUAUUGAGUUCAACCGCAUUAAAAAUGUUGAGUGGGAAGCAAGAAAACAUCAAAAAAGAAAGAGGAAUGACUUGCUUUGAUAGUAGCAAAUGUCAUAUUAUUUGCAUAAGUCCUUGUGUAUCUGCCAAGUAAAAGUAAUCUCAACGUGAGAUUAAUGGAAGGAACGAACAAGAGGCAUAACCGAUUCAAGAAAGAUGGGUGUGUAGUGUAUACAUACCCAGCUAUUUCAUCGUUGAUCAUCCAUGGCCUCUAAUCAUCAACGAUUGAGUAGUUGAGAGAUCUGAUCCAAGCUUGAGUUCCAAGGUAAGGCACUGUCCUAUCGUGAUCACCACUGUUCAACCAAAAAAACGUACAAAAUUUACAUAAAGCCUUGAAUCUUGUUGGUGGGGGAGCAAAAAAAAAGGUUAAACUCUGACCUGAAGAUGAGAGAACGAUGGCCAUUGAUGCUAUUAUUCAUAUGGUAAGGUAUGCCACAUAUAGUGUAAGGAAUACUAAUUUUUUUUUUUUUUGGUAAAAAGGAAGGAAGGAAUACUAAUUUGUUGUUACCUUCGUCCAUGAGUAUGUAGUAGAGACCAAAGAAGGGAGAGUUCCAUUGUAAACAUCAAGCUUCAUAGCCAGAGGCCCUGUUGAAUUGAAUUGAGUUGAGCUGUAAUCAAAGACACAAAAGAACGAGUUGAAGCAAAUCAAGGUUUUAUAUAUUUUACCAUUCUCAAAAAGAAGGCCAGAGAUGGAAGAGCAGCCAGGUCCUCCACUUAGCCAGAGAACAAGUGGGUCUUCUUCUGGGUUCCUCUCAGACUUGAUGAAGUAGUAGAACAAUUGCACUUCUUCCUCCUGACCAACACCAAUGUAACUUCAUUCACAAGAAACAGUAAUUGUACUUAGAUUAUCUCCAGAAUUCAGAAUUCAGACUUAAAUGGGAAUAUUUCGUGCCUGAUCUUCAAACCGUAUAUAAUAAUGUUAACAGAAUACAAACUUAAUACAUAACUAACAUGGCGAGCAUAAGAAACAAGCUUUUUAAACGUAAAUUAAUCUUUUUAACAAUUUUGUAAUAUUCUAAUAUCAAUAUGUUUAGUGAUACGUCGUCGUCAUCAUACAGUGUAAUGUGUAAACAAACAAACAAACCUCAAUGGCUAACAAAAAUUUAUUAAGGGGAGAGUCAUCAGCGAGGCAUCUCUUCGUCUUCUUCUCAAGAACGUAAAGCACUACUCUACUGGCUCCACACGCCCGAUCGCAAAAUCUUGGGAGACUGAGAAACUAAGCCAUUGGGAGCAAACGAAUUUGUCCCUUGAAUAGGCCCAUACCAUCAUCAAUCUUCACCUUUACUCAAUUCCUCCUCGCCCAUUUACCGCAUCGACUCUCUCGGGUCGGGCGCGCUUCGCCGUGCCUUGUGCGAACCAAAUAGGCCCUCAAAGUGAAAUACAACAUAGUUUUGGGUUUAUUUGUAAUUAACCAAUAGUCUCACGUUUCUCUAAUUCACCCCAAAGUUUUAGAAAUGAUAUAAUUAACCCAAAUGAUCAUGCAAACUUUUAUUUUAGGCACAUACAUACGAUAACCAUAUGUUUAAUUUCAUUUUAAAAAACCGUUGGUUACAUCACAAACUUAGUAUUGUCACAAGCAUUCUUACCAUACAUACAAUAACCAUAUGUUUUAUUUCAUAUAAACCCUUGGUUACAUCCCAAACUUGGUAUUGUCACAAGCAUUCUCCAACCAUAGUACAAGAUAGGAUUAUUUCACAUUUUAGAACAAAGAGAACAUCCUCCAACGAGGCUUGAGAUGACAGUUGGAGUUUGAGUCAUCAUAAGCCCUUUGAAACUUCACAGCAAAAGAUUGAUCAUUGCUAAGAACCAAACGUCGAACUCCAUGAUCAUCAAUCUCCAAACCCACGUUGAUACACGUAACAGAAGAGAGAAUCGGACAAUACAUAAGCUUGUAAGCAUCUCCAUCUUCUUGAAUCUGAAACAAGCUAUUCCCUUUACUUUUCUCACCACCAACGCUUACAAAGCUCUUCCUGAGUUGCACAGAAUGGUCGAUUCUCCACACUUUAGAUUCAGGGCAUAACCAAACCGUGGGAUCAAACUCGAGGCUGAGACUAGUUGAGAGGUGGACACGCUUGGUUUUGGUGUUGAGUGGAGAGAAAGUUACCGGAAGGCCUGAGACGAAAGGAGACGAUGACUGUACGAUGUCGAGAUUCAGACACGAGUCUUGUGUGUUUGCAUCUCGGCUUGAAGGGAUAAGACCCCCUCCCCUGCC
rnacentral:lncRNA from 1 species